rnacentral:rRNA from 1 species
CCCUUAGAUGUUCUGGGCCGCACGCGCGCUACACUGAUGCAUUCAACGAGUCUAAAACCUGCUCUGAUAGGGGUGGGUAAUCUUUUGAAUGUGCAUCGUGAUUGGGAUAGAUGAUUUCAAUUUUUCAUCUUCAACGAGGAAUGCCUAGUAAACGCAAGUCAUCAGCUUGCAUUGAUUACGUCCCUGCCCUUUGUACACACCGCCCGUCGCUCCUACCGAUUGAAUGAUCCGAUGAAUAUCAUGGAUUGAGGAUGCAAGCAGGUUCGCCUGUCUUCAUCUUCGAGAAGUGAAGUAAAUCUUAUCAUUUAGAGGAAGGAGAAGUCGUAACA